UAGAUGGCGAGGUGUCGUAAAAGAGAAAAGGUGUGAAACGGAUUGCCAUACUACAGUGUCGUAAUUCGCGCAAUAAUCUUCCCAACUGUCAAGUGUCAAUAGACCACAACCAAUUCUUAGGAUCUAUUUGUCUUAGAUUCAUCUCCCGAAUCAAAAGAAAGUUCUUUCCCUUAACUAGAUUGAACAGAAAACAAUACCACUAGUGCAAUUCCAAAAAAUUGUAGUCGACUUUGUUAAGUUUGUCGCUACAGAUUUUUUUCCGUUCCCGAAUAGAGAGGGAAUGCUACAACAGACUAACAUCUUAAUUUCCAAUUUCUCCAUCUGAACUCUCAGCCGCCAUCCAUUUUUUCAAUUCUUCAGCCUGCUUGGUUACUGGAUUGAUCUACGAUAAAGUAUAAGAACUGUUCAAUUGUUGAGCAACCCACUUCCAUCUGAAAUUGAAGUA